GGAGAGAUGGCUGAGUGGUUUAAAGCACCGGUCUUGAAAACCGGCAUACGUUAAAACGUAUCUAGGGUUCAAAUCCCUAUCUCUCCG
rnacentral:tRNA from 1 species